rnacentral:rRNA from 1 species
CUACGGAGGGGGUAAGCGUUGUUCGGAAUUACUGGGCGUAAAGAGUACGUAGGCGGAUCGUUAAGUUAGAGGUGAAAUCCCAGGGCUCAACCCUGGAACUGCCUUUAAUACUGGCGAUCUAGAGAUCGAGAGAGGUGAGUGGAAUUUCCAGUGUAGAGGUGAAAUUCGUAGAUAUUGGAAAGAACACCAGUGGCGAAGGCGGCUCACUGGCUCGAUACUGACGCUGAGGUACGAAAGCGUGGGGAGCAAACAGGAUUAGAAACCCCAGUAGUCC